GUUCAGUAGACAUCAAGUUGCAAACAGCAAGUGCAUUUUCGCCUCCGUACUUCGUUUCAAGCUGAAAUUAUCAUAGCAAGAAUGAAGCUCUACAUGUGCCUGGUUCUCUUGAUGUUCGUUGGAUGUACCUGGGGUUUCGCACUGAGGGACGACUUUGAUCCUGAGGAGAAAGAGAGAACAGUGUCAGCUCGUGAGAUUGUUGAGCGGACGCACUGGUGCUUGGUGGACGAAGAUUGCCCCUGGGAACGGUACCACUGUGAUAUUGAAGGGGGUUGGCCGUUUGGCAUGUGCAAUCCUGGCCCUCCGCAUGAAUGAAUUGAACAAUGAUUGACAGUGUUUAUCCAACAGCAAGGCUUCAUCUUUAAUAAAUUUAAAGGGUUAGAUUUGGCUUUUUUUAUUUCAAUUUCUUUUCCUGAUAAGACUUCUUUUUUAACAAUACUGGUAUCGUAUAGCAGCCAGUUAUUACAUUGAUGCCUUGACAGUGCUGAUCUUGAAAGCUUAUCAUGAUUGCAUGGGUGUCGCCAGUAUUUUUUUCUUGGGGGGUAAAAGCACACUUUCUCCCUUAAAUCCUUGUAGUUUCUCUGGCAUAUUCUCAAUUUAUCAUUUUUUCGAGGGUGUGUGGGGGACACUUACCAACCCCACCCCUAUUGACACCCCUGCAUACAUGUUGACGUUACAUACUUAGUAUGGACAUUCCUUUCUUUUCGUGCAGCUAAGACAAAACUUGUUAAAAAAACCUCAUUUUAAUCAUACUGUUAAAACUCUUUCAAACCCAAUUUGUUUUCUAUGAUUCCGUUUAUAGUUUUUCUCUUCAUUUUGCCACGGAUAAACCUAGCCUAAAAAUGCCUCUAAACCUGUUUUCCAGAGA